CAGGGUUGUUUAAUCAGUAAUAGGAGAACACAAUGCUAUAGUCAGGAACUUGGUUGAAGUUUUCCAGAACAAAAUUCCACCGAUUCAGAUAUAUAAGCAUUUUUUCAGCCACCACGCACUACAAGAGACGAAACACAUUCGUGAUGCCCCUACCGCCCAACGUUUGUAAGGAAAAAUCAAUGGCAUGCUUCUAUUUUUAUUUCCUAGAAAGAUGCAACCACUGUAUCACAAAGUCACAAACAUUUAAUUGAAACCCUACAUAGUUCUUAUAUACCCACCCAUUACCUGUUUUGUGUUAUUAUUUAAUAGCUUCUGUUGACCUCUC
rnacentral:lncRNA from 1 species